GAGUUUGAUCUUGGCUCAGAUUGAACGCUGGCGGCAGGCCUAACACAUGCAAGUCGAGCGGAUGACGGGAGCUUGCUCCUUGAUUCAGCGGCGGACGGGUGAGUAAUGCCUAGGAAUCUGCCUGGUAGUGGGGGACAACGUUUCGAAAGGAACGCUAAUACCGCAUACGUCCUACGGGAGAAAGCAGGGGACCUUCGGGCCUUGCGCUAUCAGAUGGGCCUAGGUCGGAUUAGCUAGUUGGUGGGGUAAUGGCUCGCCAAGGCGACGAUCCGUAACUGGUCUGAGAGGAUGAUCAGUCACACUGGAACUGAGACACGGUCCAGACUCCUACGGGAGGCAGCAGUGGGGAAUAUUGGACAAUGGGCGAAAGCCUGAUCCAGCCAUGCCGCGUGUGUGAAGAAGGUCUUCGGAUUGUAAAGCACUUUAAGUUGGGAGGAAGGGCAGUAAGUUAAUACCUUGCUGUUUGACGUUACCGACGGAUAAGCACGGCUAACUCUGUGCCAGCAGCCGCCG
rnacentral:rRNA from 1 species